rnacentral:rRNA from 1 species
GACGAACGCUGGCGGCGUGCCUAAUACAUGCAAGUCGAGCGGACCACUUCGGUGGUCAGCGGCGGACGGGUGAGUAACACGUGGGCAACCUGCCUGUAAGACUGGGAUAACACCGGGAAACCGGUGCUAAUACCGGAUAAUCCUUUCCUUCACAUGAGGGAAAGCUGAAAGACGGUUUCGGCUGUCACUUCCAGAUGGGCCCGCGGCGCAUUAGCUAGUUGGUGAGGUAAUGGCUAACCAAGGCCACGAUGCGUAGCCGACCUGAGAGGGUGAUCGGCCACACUGGGACUGAGACACGGCCCAGACUCCUACGGGAGGCAGCAGUAGGGAAUCUUCCGCAAUGGACGAAAGUCUGACGGAGCAACGCCGCGUGAGCGAUGUAGGCCUUCGGGUCGUAAAGCUCUGUUGUCAGGGAAGAACAAGUACCGGUGUAACUGCCGGUACCUUGACGGUACCUGACCAGAAAGCCACGGCUAACUACGUGCCAGCCGCCGCAGUAAAAC